rnacentral:rRNA from 1 species
UUCCGGUUGAUCCUGCCGGACCUUACUGCUAUCGGGGUGGGACUAAGACAUGCGAGUCGAGCGUCUCUAGCUAUGUUGAGACGCGGCAGACGGCUCAGUAACACGUGGCUAACCUACCCUCAGGACAAGGAUAAACCCGGGAAACUGGGGCUAAUACUUGAUAGGCGAAGAUGCCUGGAAUGGUUUUUCACCUAAAGGGCUUUAGAAACAUGCUUCUAAAGUCGCCUGAGGAUGGGGCCGCGUCCGAUCAGGUUGUUGGUGAGGUAACGGCUCACCAAGCCUAUAACCGGUACGGGCCGUGAGAGCGGUAGCCCGGAGAUGGGUACUGAGACAAGGACCCAGGCCCUACGGGGCGCAGCAGUCGCGAAAACUCCGCAAUGCACGAAAGUGUGACGGGGCUACCCCGAGUGCCAUCCGCUGAGGAUGGCUUUUCUUUGGUAUAACUAGCCAGGGGRAUAAGGAGAGGGCMAGACUGGUGUCAGCCGCCGCGGUAAUACCAGCUCUCCGAGUGGUAGGGAUGAUUAUUGGGCUUAAAGCGUCCGUAGCCGGCUUAGCAAGUCUCCUGUUAAACUCAGCGACCUAAUCGUUGAAUCGCGGGAGAUACUACUAGGCUAGGAGGCGGGAGAGGUCGACGGUACUUCUGGGGUAGGGGUGAAAUCCUAUAAUCCCGGGAGGACCACCAGUGGCGAAGGCUGUUGACUAGAACGCGCUCGACGGUGAGGGACGAAAGCUGGGGGAGCGAACCGGAUUAGAUACCCGGGUAGUCCCAGCCGUAAACGAUGCGGGCUAGGUGUUGGGAUGGCUACGUGCCAUUUCAGUGCCGCAGGGAAGCCAUUAAGCCCGCCGCCUGGGGAGUACGGCCGCAAGGCUGAAACUUAAAGGAAUUGGCGGGGGAGCACCACAAGGCGUGAAGCUUGCGGUUCAAUUGGAGUCAACGCCGGGA